GGUGGACUGUGAAUUGUGACACUCUAAUACCCCCGUUGGCAUGUAAAUGAUCCCUGUGUGAAACCCCUGGGUGAGACCCGUACAUAAAAAAUCAACAAGGUGUUCAGAGGGGUGAGUGGAUAGCAUACAUGCAAGUAAAGGAACGUUUACCGGAGACAAAUAAGGUUUCUAGUACAUUUUAUUAGGGCAUGUGCCCUGAAACAAUGUGAGCACACGUGUAAUAAGCGGC